UGAGGAAUAUUGGUCAAUGGGCGAGAGCCUGAACCAGCCAAGUAGCGUGCAGGAUGACGGCCCUAUGGGUUGUAAACUGCUUUUAUAAGGGAAUAAAGUGAGAGUCGUGACUCUUUUUGCAUGUACCUUAUGAAUAAGGACCGGCUAAUUCCGUGCCAGCAGCCGCGGUAAUACGGAAGGUCCGGGCGUUAUCCGGAUUUAUUGGGUUUAAAGGGAGCGUAGGCCGGAGAUUAAGCGUGUUGUGAAAUGUAGACGCUCAACGUCUGCACUGCAGCGCGAACUGGUUUCCUUGAGUACGCACAAAGUGGGCGGAAUUCGUGGUGUAGCGGUGAAAUGCUUAGAUAUCGCGAAGAACUCCGAUUGCGAAGGCAGCUCACUGGAGCGCAACUGACGCUGAAGCUCGAAAGUGCGGGUAUCGAACAGGAUUAGAUACCCUGGUAGUCCGCACGGUAAACGAUGGAUGCCCGCUGUUGGUCUGAACAGGUCAGCGGCCAAGCGAAAGCAUUAAGCAUCCCACCUGGGGAGUACGCCGGCAACGGUGAAACUCAAAGGAAUUGACGGGGGCCCGCACAAGCGGAGGAACAUGUGGUUUAAUUCGAUGAUACGCGAGGAACCUUACCCGGGCUUGAAUUGCAGAGGAAGGAUUUGGAGACAAUGACGCCCUUCGGGGCCUCUGUGAAGGUGCUGCAUGGUUGUCGUCAGCUCGUGCCGUGAGGUGUCGGCUUAAGUGCCAUAACGAGCGCAACCCCUCUCCUUAGUUGCCAUCAGGUUAAGCUGGGCACUCUGGGGACACUGCCACCGUAAGGUGUGAGGAAGGUGGGGAUGACGUCAAAUCAGCACGGCCCUUACGUCCGGGGCUACACACGUGUUACAAUGGCAGGUACAGAGAGACGGUCCCUUGCAAAAUGGAUCAAAUCCUUAAAGCCUGUCUCAGUUCGGACUGGGGUCUGCAACCCGACCCCACGAAGCUGGAUUCGCUAGUAAUCGCGCAUCAGCCAUGGCGCGGUGAAUACGUUCCC
rnacentral:rRNA from 1 species